AACACUCUGGUUUUGAAUAAGCAGUACCCACAUCAAACCCGCUAAGGUGUGGGUGAUUAGGGUGCUGAAAAGUCAGAUUAGCCCAGCAGUGAGGAGGUAAAGGACACUGGAAGGGGGAUGGGAGGCUCAGGUGAUGCUUGUGAUCACCUGGGGAGGAUUCAGAGCCUGCUGGGGCUCAUAAGGGUGAACACAGGAGCUGUGCUGGUUCUUUGCAGCUAGAGAGGAAGAACUUCUUCACCCAGGGCUUGAAGGCAGUAGGAACUUAUGAAGAGUUUCUUGAAGAGUCUUGGCUGUCCUGACCAUAUUCAUUGCUGUGCCAGGAUGAAUGCCUCAUGGUUACAGCAUUGGAGUAGAAUGCAAAUGAUGCAAAUUUAA
rnacentral:lncRNA from 1 species